rfam:Salmo salar isolate Sally breed double haploid chromosome ssa01, whole genome shotgun sequence.
GUACUUCACUAUUGUAAGUCGCUCUGGAUAAGAGCAUCUGCUAAAUGACUAAAA